CUUUGGAAAGUAAAACAAAGUUAAACCCAGAAAGAAAAAAGAAGCGGGAGCACCGAGUAGAAGUGAAGGGUUUAGCAAUGAACUCAACCUAGGAUUCUGAGGAACCACUAGUAGACAAACUAUAGUAUGGUCUCCAACUUCUUUUUCUCAAUCUUGGUGGAUAGUGAAUCAGAAAAAUGGCAUUUGCAUUCGAUGAGUUCGGUAGGCCAUUCAUAAUAAUCAAGGAACAAGAGAAGAAAACCCGAUUAAGAGGUCUUGAUGCUCAAAAAGCCAAUAUUUCCUCUUGCAAAGACGUAGUUCGCAUUCUCCGUACUUCUCUUUGUCCUAAGCGCAUGGGAAAGAUGCUUCAGAGCCCUGACGGUGAUGUCACUAUCACAAAUGAUGGUGCAACUAUCCUUGAGCAGAUGGAUGUUUACAAUCAGAUUGCGAAGUUGAUGGUUGAGUUGUCACGAAGUCAGGAUUAUGAAAUUGGUGAUGGAACUAAUGGAGUUGUUGUCAUGGCUGGGGCUCUUCUAGAACAAACGGAGAAGCUAUUAGAACACGGUGUUCACCCUAUUCGAGUUGCAUUGGAGCAUACUGCAAAUAAGGUUGAAUUUUGUUUGAAUGAGUUUGAGCCUUUGAUUCAAACCUGCAUGACUACGUUAUCUUCUAAGAUAAUGCUUUGUCAUUCUAUCGAUGUUGGUGCCACCUUGGUUCCACAUGUGAUUAGGUGGGAGAAUUGUGCCGAGGCUGGUCUGGUUAUAGAGAAACCAUUUGGAACAAGAAAGGACAGGAUGAUUUACAUUGAACAUUGUGCAAAUUAAAGGGUUGUGACAAUAUUUAUCCGUGGUGGUAACAAGAUGAUGAUAGAGGAGACAAAAUGUAGGAUCCAUGAUGCUUUAUGUGUGGCUACAAAUCUUACUCGCAACGACUCCAUUGUGUAUGGUGGUGGUUCAACUGAGAUCUUUUGGUCAAUUGCUGUGGAAGCAGCAACUGAUAAACACCUAGGAGUUCAGUAGUAUGCUAUCAGGGCAUUUGCUGAUGCUUUGGAUUCUAUCCCAAUGGCACUUGCUGAGAAUAGUGGUCUCCAACCCAUUGAAACUCUAUCUGCUGUCAAAUCUCAGCAAAUUAAGCUUGAUAUUUCUUACAGGAAACAAUCCUUGGUGUGGGAUAGAUUGCAAUGAUGUUGGAACAAAUGACAUGUGUAAGCAAAAUUUGUUUGAGACACCGAUUGGGAAGCAACAACAGAUGCUGCUUGCAACACAGGUUGUUAAGAUGAUUUUAAAGAUUGACGAUGUCAUUAGUCCAUCCGAAUAUUAAUUGAUGUUUACAUAAAUCAAAGUGGACAUUUUAGCUUUGGUAAUGCUACUCAAGGUAAUCUUAGUUCUAUGUGGUAAUUAAGUUCAAAUUUUGGUUGUUGACGAAUUGAUAUGAUUUUAGGAUUGAAGACGUUGAUUAAUGAGCAGUGGUAUCGCAAAAACUAGAAAUUCUUUAA